ensembl:lncRNA
UCUGUGUUUAUGGUUACUUGACCUCUGGAACAGCUUGAUAAGACCUGCAGGGGGAGGUAACAUCUUGAAUUAAUCAGGCAUUACAUUAAAAUAUAUCAUGGAGGAGCUCAGAGCUCAGUCCUUCCUACAGCUCUGAAACAGAGGUAGGAAGAUUCAGGCUAAAUAUAGACCAGGAGCAGUCGCCCUGCAUUUAACCUCAUUAUGUUAAUCUACUAGACAAUUUAAAACAGCCAGUUACUAUCUACAAGGCAGGUGUUGAAUUCUUUGCACAGAACUUCUAUUUGUAAGUGACUUUUGAUCUUCUCUCAGAUACAAUUUAAAAGGGGGAAACUGUAUGGAAGUCUUAUUCCUUCUUUUGUUUAUUCUAACAGAGUUUUAUGGCAUGGCUGAGGGAGGCAGGAAGACAGAAAGGAAAGUUACUUUUACCUGGCAGACUUUGCACCCUGACUGGUCAGCUGGAACUUAAG